AUAAGCUUUAUGCUUUAUAAGAAUGCAGGUACAACUGUUGUUCUCUGCCUCACAUUACAUGAAGAGCAUACCAUACCAUCAUACCAUGCAAUAUGUUUUAUCAUGCCCUUGGUCUGUUUCACUGUCAAUCAGACAGUGAAACAGAUUGCCAGAAGGAGCAAUUCUGUCUUACAUGUAAAAGACAUUAUUUAUGGAAUGACUUGUAUAUUCUCUUCUCAGCAGCAUAAUUAAAUUAGCCUUAAACCUAUCAUAGCCUAUAUUAAAUAUUGAAAGUUUUUCAAUUCAAAUGUGAAUGGAAAACACUAAACUGAUUAAAUAU
rnacentral:lncRNA from 1 species